UACGUAGGGGGCAAGCGUUAUCCGGAUUUACUGGGUGUAAAGGGAGCGUAGACGGCAUGGCAAGCCAGAUGUGAAAUACCGGGGCUCAACCCCGGGACUGCAUUUGGAACUGUUAAGCUGGAGUGUCGGAAAGGCAGGCGGAAUGCGCGGUGUAGCGGUGAAAUGCAUAGAUAUCGCGCAGAACCCCGAUUGCGAAGGCAGCCUGCCGGCCCCACACUGACGCUGAGGCACGAAAGCGUGGGUAUCGAACAGG
rnacentral:rRNA from 1 species